UGGUCGACGAUGGUCGGCGAGAUGAAGUGGACGUGCGCGUCGAUCGCGCCGGCCGUGACGAUCUUGCCGUUGCCCGCGAUGACUUCGGUCUCGGGGCCGAUGACCAGCUCGGGGUGGACGCCGUCCAUCGUGUCGGGGUUCCCGGCCUUGCCGAUGCCGGUGAUCCGUCCGUCCCGUAUCCCGAUGUCGGCCUUGACGAUGCCCCAGUGGUCGAUGAUCAGGGCGCCGGUGAUCACGGUGUCGGGCGCGCCCUCCGCCCUGGUCGUACGGGACUGGCCCAUCGACUCGCGGAUCA
rfam:Streptomyces sp. 150FB scaffold00001, whole genome shotgun sequence.